AACGCAGAAGCAGGUGUACGGACGAGACGAUUUUUCGGCCGUACGCUAUGGAGGAGCGACUUAGCGAUGAACUGAUAGGCAGGGCGGCGAUACAGCGGAUAAAGCGCGAUGGAGCACGAUCAAUUCGGCUCUAUGAACGAGAGCAGGAAAUAAAAAAGUUGCAAGAUGAACUGCGCGAGUGUUCACGGCGAGCUGGACUCGAGCGUUUCUCCGAGUGCCGGAGCCUCGUACAAGAGCUGAUCAAGAUUUUUGAGGAGCCUUGGUACGGUGCGUUCUCGAAAAACGACUGAGGUGGUCUCCGAGACGGGUAAUGAUCAUCCUGGGGCCGCGCGCCUCACUCACAAGCGACCCUGUGGACGGGAGUUGCAGCGGGAGUCCGAACUGCCAGGACCGUGUGCACGUGGACUGCCGCAGCGCCCGCGACCAAGGCGAGCUGGCCUCUACAUCAGCGAUCGCUGGUGCCGUCAACAAAUUGGGAACUCUCUGAGAGGUUUUGCAGGUGCCGCGCUGGCUUUGGUUGCAAAGCCCGCGACGCCUGUGCGACCUGCACACGCCACACAGGUCCAGUGGGGUCGGUGCAGCGGCCCGCCUCCACCGGAACAAGCACUUUUGAUACCUUUCGCAGUCGAUCUUUUGCGUAUAAGAUGAGAGGCCUCGGACGCAAUUGUUAUCGGCGGAUUCAUGUUUUCGAUCUGCAUGCGUGGCGGCAGAAGAAUAUCGUCGGGGAUUUGUGCGAGAAUCGUCGCUGCGACGCUCUGGUUGCCGGGGAUCCUCUUCAGUCUGGUGAAGAGGACGCAGACAUGAUGCUUUUGCAGGCGUCGUUGCGAGGCCUGCACACACACCGUAAUUUUUUGACGGCAUGCCCCGCGUUUUACACAGGGCUCAGGGACACUCGCCUCUGGACUUGUUGCUCGUUACGAUAAUGAUGUUGAUGAUGAUGAUGGGGUUUUUGGGUUGCAGUCCCGCCAUUUACAGAGCGGAGCAUGCUCUGUACUGAAUGUUUGCGGCAACUUGGGACAUUCGGUUUCCGCGUAUCGACACGAUAAACUUUGCGUCCAAAGAAGAGAUUCGGAGAGCCUUUACCUGGAUGUCGUACAAUGCCGAGAAAUCAUAUCGGGGACGAACUUUGCACGACUGCAGGCAUGCAGGCCGCGCAAACACUGACAGAACCGCUCCAUACGCGGUUUUAUACGCGAGGUAACAGGAUAGAAAGACUGAGUAUUCGGUGGUAAGCUGCACGUCAGGAUAAAGCUUGUGCUUCCUUGAUAGAUCGCUGAGCAGUUACGGUGUAUGCAGGCACGACAUCAGCUGCUGGAUGAUCUCAUGCACAGCGAGCUCUGAACCAUAGAGUUUAAAGAGAAAGCGCGAAACUAGCGGCGCGAUGUGAAUCUGUUGCUCGGGAAAGACUCUCCAACUUGCCGCCUACGGAUGCACUCGUGGCUAGCUCAGCGUAUUCACUGAGAGUUUAGUCACUGUAACACCAGACAUAAUCACGGUCCGGAUGCGAUCUCCAGACGCGCUCAAAAUCUACGAAUAAAGUCUGCAAGGAAAGAUGCGCAC